rnacentral:rRNA from 1 species
CNACCUGCCGACAACACUGGGAUAGCCUUUCGAAAGAAAGAUUAAUACCGGAUGGCAUAGUUUUUCCGCAUGGGAUAAUUAUUAAAGAAUUUCGGUUGUCGAUGGGGAUGCGUUCUAUUAGGCAGUUGGCGGGGUAACGGCCCACCAAACCAACGAUGGAUAGGGGUUCUGAGAGGAAGGUCCCCCACAUUGGAACUGAGACACGGUCCAAACUCCUACGGGAGGCAGCAGUGAGGAAUAUUGGUCAAUGGACGAGAGUCUGAACCAGCCAAGUAGCGUGAAGGAUGACUGCCCUAUGGGUUGUAAACUUCUUUUAUACGGGAAUAAAGUUAGCCACGUGUGGCUUUUUGUAUGUACCGUAUGAAUAAGGAUCGGCUAACUGCGUGCCAGCAGCCGCGGUAAUACGGAGGAUCCGAGCGUUAUCCGGAUUUAUUGGGUUUAAAGGGAGCGUAGGCGGGUUGUUAAGUCAGUUGUGAAAGUUUGCGGCUCAACCGUAAAAUUGCAGUUGAUACUGGCGACCUUGAGUGCAACAGAGGUAGGCGGAAUUCGUGGUGUAGCGGUGAAAUGCUUAGAUAUCACGAAGAACUCCGAUUG